ensembl:miRNA
CCUUGCACUGAUUUCUCCAUGGGUGGGGAUUUGUUGCAUUACUUGUAGCUGUAUGUAGAGUAUUGCACUUGUCCCGGCCUGUGGAGGAAAGG